UGGAUGACCUAUAUAAUAGUGAUAACUACAAUUAAACAAAGUAGCAUCCACUUCUCAGGUUUAUACUGCCCCUGAUUCUGCCUGGUAUAAAAUGCCUAAGUCUACAAGGUGAGCUUUGUGGUUGGACAUGCUUUUACAUUGGUGUGGCUGCUGUUGCUUUUGGAUGCUCUUAUUAUCACCUCAAACCAAAUGAUGGUCACCUUGUUUGGGAUCGUUUGCCUAUGCAAAUGAGGAAUCUUCACGAUCACAUGCCAUUCUUCGUUCAUAAAUCUUGCAGGAAAUGAAAGAGGUGCAGAUACAACUGAUAAUGAUAAGAAAACAAGGCUUGGCCUGUGCGUACUCCAAGGCCAGUUGCUUUCAAGCUUGUUGCUGAUACCCCUCUUCUUACUGGACAGGUAAGUUUCAAAUCUUUUUGUUGUGGAUUUCUUAUAGUUUCUUUUUGUUGUGGAUUUCUUAUAGUUUACUUAACUUAAAAUAUUUUGGCAUCUGAGUGUAAAAAAUAAUAUUUGAACUCAUAAGUUCCUUAAUAAUACUUUAUUGUGUUACAUGUACUUUAUUACUUACUCAUAAUAUAUAAUUCAAUCUGAUUAUUGAUUAUAUAUUAUGAGUAAGGAGAGCAUUCUAAACAUUCUGGAAACUUUAAAAGAAGAGGGAAAUAGGGUCUUGUUCAAUGCUUUAGCUGUGUUUGCUCUAAGGGAGAUCAACUUAUCACAAGUGAGUAAUCAAGAUUAAGGGAGACUUGUAAUCAUGUUUGACAUUCCUUUCCAGUAAGAAAAAGAGUUGUAUGAUUAUUUGUUAGUUUUAUAGGAAUGUAUAACCCAUGUUAGCAAUGUUUUAUUUUUGUUUAACAUUUGAAUGAUUCUUUGUAUGACAUUACAAUUUGUGUAAUUUAUUUUAUUUUUUGAGUAUGAAA